UCCACUGUUUGGGCAACAGCUAGUACAAUUCACUUGCCUAAGUUGGAAUUCUAUCACACAGGAGGCAGUGUCUUAUGCUUGCCUGCGUUCUUCAAAUCUGUCAUCUACUUAAGAUCUUCUGACCCUUAUAGAGAAUUCUGGUCUUCACUGGAAAGAGAACAUGGAAGCAAAACAUUCACUUUCAGACUUCUGAGGAACAUGCCCAUGGAAGAACCUUGCAUGCCUUGACUCCCUCUCACUGGAAUUCUUGAAAAUUCCCAAGUGAGAAUGUGGCAUCUAUUCAGUAGUAACAGGACUUCUUCGUGUGGUCAAGUCAGCUGUCACUGUUUUCCGUACUGAGCACUGGCUUACAGCAGUUAAGACUGUCUCUUUACCAAAUUCUCCUUCUUUGAUAUACUGAAAGUGUUACCUGAGAUCCUGGAUCACCUUUUUCUCCCUUUGCCCCAGGAAAUCCAUGAAUGCCCUAAAAGAAGUCAAGGAAAACAAAAUUCCCAUUUAAAGAGAAGUACAUCAACCUCGUGACCAUGUUAUAGUGCCUUAAAGAUGGCUUACCUCUUCCCCAUCCAGUCCAUCAAUCCCAUCCUCUCCAUGUUCUCCCUGAGGGACAAUAAGGAGUGCAGUCAGGUCAGAGGAGGUCUCUGCCACACGCUUACUGGGAAACUAAUUCCAUCAGGAAAUCAAAUUGGACUGAGAAGACACUACAGUACCUUACUUCCAGAAAAUCCUUUGGCUCCCUGUAAAAGAUCAAAUGUCUCUCACUGACACAUCAAAGACAGACAGCAGGUAGACUCACGGAGUGUUGGAGCAGGAAGCAGCUGCCUCCCUAAAGAGGUGCUUCUGGCUCUCCAACCACAAAGAAGUGAUAGGUGGGAUUGAAUGAAUGCUCCAAACUCAUUGAGAUGUCUAAGAAGCAGAAUUAGUCCGCAGGAGAAGACACUGACAUGUAAUUGGAGAAAGACAAAGGGAGGCUGGGGAUGGAAGAGAGAAAAGGAGGGAGGGAAGGAGGAAGGACAGGAAGGAGGAGAAAAGCAGAUCAUGUUGUAGGGAAUUAAAAAUCACAUUUCUAGCAGAGACUUACCUUUUGACCCUGCUCUCCUGGACAUCCUGCAGUCCCGCUAUCUCCUGUGGGUCCAAUAUCUCCUCGUCUUCCCUAAAAAAAGGCACCCAGACAGAUAUCCAAAGUGACUCUUUUGCCAGAAGUCACCAGCAGUUUAUUUUUUAAGAGUAAAGCUAGAGCACAGGAGCACUCUGGGCUUCACACAAAGCAAAUCCUUCCCCAAAUGCUUUCCUUUAACUCUGGUUUUCCCCUCUAUGCUAACAUCUUCCCUGUUGCCCUUCGGGGCUUCCUUACAGACCCAAGAUGACACAGGAGUGCAGGAUGAGCCCAGGUGCUUCCCGGUCCUCAUCAGCACAGCCAAAGGUUUGGAAGUCGCUUCACCUGCCAGCCACCUUUCAAACACUCCAGUAAUACAUGUUGGCGCUGACGUUGUGCCCAGGGAGCCAGUGCUGCCCUGGAAAAGUCAUUAGUGCUGAUGGUACUGAAGCAAGCUGGUCCCAGGGGACUGGAGCUGAGUAGAAGCAGUUGAUGGGCUGGGCUACUGCUAUAAGAACUCGAAGAUAGGAAGUGCUAGUGAUCAUGGAAAGGACCACCAGGUGAAAAAGCCCCCAAAUCAGACCAGCCACUGGGAGAAGAGCGCUCAAGGUCAAUGAUGUGUACACCUCCCAUCAAUCCUUUUUCUCCCAGGAAAUAUUUAAACACAGAUUAUUCCCGGGAAAGCAGGAGGCCUCCCUUGUGGCCAUAGGUCACUGAGAGGUACCAAUACAUCAUGGCUUCCCGUUGACUGGACUGUCCGCCAGAUGCGUGCUCAUGGCCAGAUACCCACACUUGAAGCCCUCCAUGCUGCCUGGGUGAGCUCUAAGACCCCUCUACAGACCCAUGGUGAGUGGUUCAAUUUCACUCAUUGCUGAUGAAGUACAAUCUUCUCCAUUAUUUCUAAUACCGCCUGCACCCUUCAAACUGUUUAAAGCAGGUGUGAAAGUAUAAAUUGCAAAGCCAAGGAGCAACAUCACAAAGGAUAGCUUACCCUCCUGAUGGAAGUGAUGUCCUCUAAGAUGUCUGGGAGCAAUCUGGAGACCAAGGGAAAUGAGGCCAGAUUAAUGAGUAGACAGAAGCAAGGAAGAGCAGGAGAGCAGUCAUGGCAUGACCCAGGGCUGGAGGGUCUCUACAGAAGGAAGAUAUUGGCUGUUUGACUGACACAGGUAUGGAUCCCUAAUAAACACCUUGUAUCCUAGACUCUGCCUCAGUGUCUGCCUCCAAAAGGCUCUUCAGUGCAUACUGUGGUGGGAAGGGAACUUUCAGAUCCUGAUUGAGCAAGAGAUAAGAAAACAUAGGCAGAGCAGAGCAAUGUUCAGCCCAUGACGUCCAGCUGUAUAACAAUCCCCAGGGCACCUUGGAAGUCAUACAUGAAGAUAGAAGACCCUCCACCAACCCAAGUAUCUGAAUAGAGGAGAGGCAACUGGUCACCUUGAGCACAAGACGUAUAAUGUUACAAGGGAAAUAAACUUCCUAUUAUUCAGGGAAUCUAUUGGUUGCUAAGGCUUUGAACUGGCUCUACUACAAAAUCAAGCCAUAGCUAUAGCCAUGGAAUCGGUAAUGGUGGGGCAGAAAGGAAGUUUGAAGGUCAUCUCAGCUCCCAUGAUUUACAAAUGAGAAGACUGAUGCAAGGCUCAGAGAUGACAUCACUUCCCCAAGUUCACACAGCCACCUAGUGGCAGCGUCUGGGGCUUCUGACCUGGUGUUCAAAGAGCUUUGUACCACAGCAGGACUUCCUUAAGUCUUGGAACCAGAUAGUACCUGCUCAGAAUGGCCCAUCAUUGCCUGCAGAGUGCAGAGGCAGCCAGGAAAUCCAUUCUGCCAGGAAGUCUUUCCACCUUAGUCUGGAGAGAAUGGUGGAAGCCUCUCAUGAAUAUGGCACACUUAUUGAGUGCCUCGCUGGGGUUGUGCACUGGCUCAUCCUGCCUGCCCAUCAACACCUCAUGGGCAGCUUCCUGUCUCAGUUUAUCCAUUCCUUCCUAAUGCUGUCUGGGAUCACCUGCCAAGGUAAACUAUUUGUACUCAAAAAUCUUCUGUUUUGAGGUCUUUGUGGAAAACUCGCUUAAGACACAAAGCAUUUUUCAUGUGAGACAUUGUAAGUCAUGGGAAUGGGAUUAUAAAUAUUCCUCCUUUUGGCCUAGGGGAUCAAGAAUAAAAUCAGAUGAGAAGGAGAACUUUCACAUUUCUGUGUGAAAUACGGGGAUUUCCAGGGACCGGCAGGAAGGCAGAUAUGGGACCUGGUGGUUCUGGUGAGUGGCUGCUUAGGGAAAAAGCUGAGAAACAGCCCUCCCUUGACCUCCCCACCAGGGAAACCAGCUGCAGUGACUGAAGUAAGAUGUUGCUGUCAAGCUGCUAUGUACAUACAACAGGCAUCAACAUGGAUGAUGGAGCCUGAGAGGAAUGGUCUGUACUGCCAUAUGAAAAACUCUCAGUGGCUCUCAGAAAAUAAGUUGGGGAAAAUUUUAUGUUGGGAGAUGUGAUAGUUAAGGUGCUAAACUAUACAAGAAACGGCACUGAAUCAGUUCAAUCUGAGCUAGUAAUUUGUCUCAUUCAUACCCAUAAACUUGUCAGAAAUAUUUCUAAUAUUUCUUCAAUUCAA